CGACAUUAGCUAGUUGGUGAGGUAACGGCCCACCAAGGCUACGAUGUCUAGGGGUCCUGAGAGGGUUAUCCCCCACACUGGUACUGAGACACGGACCAGACUCCUACGGGAGGCAGCAGUAAGGAAUAUUGGUCAAUGGGCGCAAGCCUGAACCAGCCAUGCCGCGUGCAGGAAGACGGCCCUAUGGGUUGUAAACUGCUUUUAUCAGGGAAUAAACCCCCGUACGUGUACGGGGCUGAAGGUACCUGAAGAAUAAGCAUCGGCUAACUCCGUGCCAGCAGCCGCGGUAAUACGGAGGAUGCAAGCGUUAUCCGGAUUCAUUGGGUUUAAAGGGUGCGCAGGCGGAUUGGUAAGUCAGGGGUGAAAUCCCACAGCUCAACUGUGGAACUGCCUUUGAUACUGUCAGUCUAGAGUAUAGUUGAAGUGGGCGGAAUGUGUCAUGUAGCGGUGAAAUGCUUAGAUAUGACACAGAACACCGAUCGCGAAGGCAGCUCGCUAAGCUAUAACUGACGCUCAUGCACGAAAGCGUGGGGAUCAAACAGGAUUAGGUACCCUGGUAGUCCACGCCGUAAACGAUGAUUACUCGAUGUUGGCGAUACACAGUCAGCGUCUGAGCGAAAGCAAUAAGUAAUCCACCUGGGGAGUACGAUCGCAAGAUUGAAACUCAAAGGAAUUGACGGGGGCCCGCACAAGCGGAGGAGCAUGUGGUUUAAUUCGAUGAUACGCGAGGAACCUUACCUGGGCUCGAACGUAAGAUGACUGUAGUGAAAGCUUACAUCCCUUUCGGGGCAUUUACGAGGUGCU
rnacentral:rRNA from 1 species